rnacentral:siRNA from 1 species
GUGGUCUAGUGGUAGAAU